UGGCCUCCUAGUUUAGUGGUAAGAAUGUCAUAUUGCGACUGUGGAGACUGGGUUCGAAUCCCCACUAUUAA
rnacentral:tRNA from 1 species